rnacentral:rRNA from 1 species
UACGGAGGAUCCGAGCGUUAUCCGGAUUUAUUGGGUUUAAAGGGUGCGUAGGUGGCCCUAUAAGUCAGUGGUGAAAGCCUGCAGCUUAACUGUAGGAUUGCCAUUGAUACUGUAGGGCUUGAGUACUGAUGAGGUAGGCGGAAUUGAUAGUGUAGCGGUGAAAUGCAUAGAUAUUAUCAAGAACACCGAUUGCGAAGGCAGCUUACUAAGGAGUUACUGACACUGAGGCACGAAAGCGUGGGGAUCAAACAGG